GCAGGGGUGGUCCAGUGGUAGAAUUCUCGCCUUCUAUGCCGGGGACCUGGGUUCAAAUCUCGGCCGAUGCA
rnacentral:tRNA from 1 species